CGUUCUGUGGCUUAGUUGGUUGAAGCGUCGAUCUAGCGAAAACGGAGUAGUGGGUUUGAAUCCUACCCGAGCGC
rnacentral:tRNA from 1 species